GCAAGUCGAGGGGCAGCAGGUCUGUAGCAAUACAGAUGCUGGCGACCGGCAAACGGGUGCGGAACACGUACAGAACCUUCCUUCGAGCGGGGAAUAGCCCAGAGAAAUUUGGAUUAAUACCCCAUAGUAUAUUAGAGUGGCAUCACUUUGAUAUUAAAGAUUUAUCACUUGAAGAUGGCUGUGCGGCUGAUUAGGUAGUUGGCGGGGUAACGGCCCACCAAGCCAGCGAUCAGUAACUGGUGUGAGAGCACGACCAGUCACACGGGCACUGAGACACGGGCCCGACUCCUACGGGAGGCAGCAGUAAGGAAUAUUGGUCAAUGGACGCAAGUCUGAACCAGCCAUGCCGCGUGGAGGAUGAAGGUCCUCUGGAUUGUAAACUUCUUUUAUAUGGGACGAAAAAAGGGUUUUCUAACUCGUCUGACGGUACCAUAUGAAUAAGCACCGGCUAACUCCGUGCCAGCAGCCGCGGUAAUACGGAGGGUGCAAGCGUUAUCCGGAUUCACUGGGUUUAAAGGGUGCGUAGGUGGGUUGGUAAGUCAGUGGUGAAAUCCCCGAGCUUAACUUGGGAACUGCCAUUGAUACUAUCAGUCUUGAAUACCGUGGAGGUUAGCGGAAUAUGUCAUGUAGCGGUGAAAUGCUUAGAUAUGACAUAGAACACCAAUUGCGAAGGCAGCUGGCUACACGAAUAUUGACACUGAGGCACGAAAGCGUGGGGAUCAAA
rnacentral:rRNA from 1 species